GAUGAACGCUGGCGGCGUGCCUAAUACAUGCAAGUCGAGCGAACGGACGAGAAGCUUGCUUCUCUGAUGUUAGCGGCGGACGGGUGAGUAACACGUGGAUAACCUACCUAUAAGACUGGGAUAACUUCGGGAAACCGGAGCUAAUACCGGAUAAUAUUUUGAACCGCAUGGUUCAAAAGUGAAAGAAGGUCUUGCUGUCACUUAUAGAUGGAUCCGCGCUGCAUUAGCUAGUUGGUAAGGUAACGGCUUACCAAGGCAACGAUGCAUAGCCGACCUGAGAGGGUGAUCGGCCACACUGGAACUGAGACACGGUCCAGACUCCUACGGGAGGCAGCAGUAGGGAAUCUUCCGCAAUGGGCGAAAGCCUGACGGAGCAACGCCGCGUGAGUGAUGAAGGUCUUCGGAUCGUAAAACUCUGUUAUUAGGGAAGAACAUAUGUGUAAGUAACUGUGCACUUCUUGACGGUACCUAAUCAGAAAGCCACGGCUAACUACGUG
rnacentral:rRNA from 1 species